rnacentral:lncRNA from 1 species
CCAGAAUCUUGAUCACAGCUCGCUAGAAAGAGCCAGGUAAGGCCAAAAAUAUUUGUUUUACCCUUCUCUCUUUCUCUCUCAACCGUUGAAACCUUGAUUUCAAUCGAUUGUUGCCAAACUUUUGGAUGGAAUCAAAAUCCCCUGAUUUCACCAUUUUUCCAUGGAUUUUUUUUUGAAUGUUUUCGACGAUCGUAGUUGCCACCAGUUGCUAGUCGAAGGACCUUCCGCUGCAUUGCCAUGGGCUACAUCCCCGGCCACCAUCUUUCCGAUGCAAGGACUCUCUAUUUGGGGG